rnacentral:rRNA from 1 species
GACGAACGCUGGCGGCGUGCCUAAUACAUGCAAGUAGAACGCUGAAGGAGGAGCUUGCUUCUCUGGAUGAGUUGCGAACGGGUGAGUAACGCGUAGGUAACCUGCCUGGUAGCGGGGGAUAACUAUUGGAAACGAUAGCUAAUACCGCAUAACAGUAGAUGUUGCAUGACAUUUGCUUAAAAGGUGCAAUUGCAUCACUACCAGAUGGACCUGCGUUGUAUUAGCUAGUUGGUGAGGUAACGGCUCACCAAGGCGACGAUACAUAGCCGACCUGAGAGGGUGAUCGGCCACACUGGGACUGAGACACGGCCCAGACUCCUACGGGAGGCAGCAGUAGGGAAUCUUCGGCAAUGGACGGAAGUCUGACCGAGCAACGCCGCGUGAGUGAAGAAGGUUUUCGGAUCGUAAAGCUCUGUUGUAAGAGAAGAACGAGUGUGAGAGUGGAAAGUUCACAC